UCAGUUGACCGGGCAGCCGCCGGGGCGCGAGGCGACUUGCGUCCGGGAGGAAAGUCCGGGCUCCAUGGAGACACGAUGCCGGGUAACGCCCGGCGAGGGCGACCUCAGGGAAAGUGCCACAGAAAGCAGACCGCCUUGUUCUUCGGAUCAGGGUCAGGGUGAAAGGGUGGAGUAAGAGCCCACCGCGCUGGCGGCAACGUUGGCGGCACGGCAAACCCCAUUGGGAGCAAGACCAAAUAGGAACGUCGCGCCGGGCUUGCCCGGCAGCUUUGUCUCCAAGUGAGGCGUUCGGGUUGGUUGCUUGAGGUGGGUCGCAAGGCCCGCCCUAGAGGAAUGGCUGCCCCACAAUCCUUCGGGGUUGGAGGACAGAACCCGGCUUACAGGUCAACUGGCUCU
rnacentral:RNase_P_RNA from 1 species